rnacentral:rRNA from 1 species
GAUGAACGCUGGCGGCGUGCCUAAUACAUGCAAGUCGAGCGAACAGAUAAGGAGCUUGCUCCUUUGACGUUAGCGGCGGACGGGUGAGUAACACGUGGGUAACCUACCUAUAAGACUGGGAUAACUUCGGGAAACCGGAGCUAAUACCGGAUAAUAUUUCGAACCGCAUGGUUCGAUAGUGAAAGAUGGUUUUGCUAUCACUUAUAGAUGGACCCGCGCCGUAUUAGCUAGUUGGUAAGGUAACGGCUUACCAAGGCGACGAUACGUAGCCGACCUGAGAGGGUGAUCGGCCACACUGGAACUGAGACACGGUCCAGACUCCUACGGGAGGCAGCAGUAGGGAAUCUUCCGCAAAGGGCGAAAGCCUGACGGAGCAACGCCGCGUGAGUGAUGAAGGUCUUCGGAUCGUAAAACUCUGUUAUUAGGGAAGAACAUACGUGUAAGUAACUGUGCACGUCGUGACGGUACCUAAUCAGAAAGCCACGGCUAACUACGUG